AGAGUUUGAUCCUGGCUCAGGAUGAACGCUGACAGAAUGCUUAACACAUGCAAGUCGAUGGGGAAGUGGUGCUUGCACCAUGGUAACCAUGGCGGACGGGUGAGUAACGCGUAAGGAACUUGCCUGCGGGACCGGGAUAACAGCAGGAAACUGCUGACAAGACCGGAUAAAGUCAUGAAGCUGCAUAGCUUAGUGAUGAAAGGAGACGCCUGCGGAGAGCCUUGCGUCCUAUUAGCUAGUUGGAGGGGUAACGGCCCACCAAGGCGAAGAUAGGUAGCCGGCCUGAGAGGGUGGACGGCCACAAGGGGACUGAGAUACGGCCCUUACUCCUACGGGAGGCAGCAGUGGGGAAUAUUGGACAAUGGGGGCAACCCUGAUCCAGCAAUUCUGUGUGCACGAAGACGGUUUUCGGAUUGUAAAGUGCUUUCAGCAGGGAAGAAGGAAGUGACGGUACCUGCAGAAGAAGCGACGGCUAAAUACGUGCCAGCAGCCGCGGUAAUACGUAUGUCGCGAGCGUUAUCCGGAAUUAUUGGGCAUAAAGGGCAUCUAGGCGGCCUUUCAAGUCAGGGGUGAAAACCUGCGGCUCAACCGCAGGCCUGCCUUUGAAACUGAUAGGCUGGAGUACCGGAGAGGUGGACGGAACUGCACGAGUAGAGGUGAAAUUCGUAGAUAUGUGCAGGAAUGCCGAUGAUGAAGAUAGUUCACUGGACGGUAACUGACGCUGAAGUGCGAAAGCCGGGGGAGCGAACAGGAUUAGAUACCCUGGUAGUCCCGGCCGUAAACGAUGAUUACUGGGUGUGGGCAGGAAGACUGUCUGUGCCGAAGCGAAUGCGAUAAGUAAUCCGCCUGGGGAGUACGGCCGCAAGGCUGAAACUCAAAGGAAUUGACGGGGACCCGCACAAGCGGUGGAGCAUGU
rnacentral:rRNA from 1 species